CCUUUAAAGGUGAACAUGAGCCCACACCAGGAAAAAAAAAACUUCAGGCUUUCAUGACCUACAGCUCAGACCCUGCAACACCCUCACCCCGUUUCUACUCCUGCAGGAUUUCUGGAAGCAAAUCCUUAUGUGACUUUGAUAGCACUGAAGAAAUAAAAUCUGAGGUGAGGACUUAGAAAAUCAUUCGAGAAGCAUUGCAGCUCGUAAGUUUGAUCUUGAUGCCCACAGAACUGGCAGCUCUUAAGUUAUUACAGUAUCAGAGCUUCAGAAAAUGCUCUGCUAAAGACCAUUUUGUGCUCAGAACUAAGCUAAAGACACACAGCCUCAGCAGCCGCAAGAUUUUAAACUCGGCUUUGGAUCAUGCCCUAAGGACAGCAACCAUUUUGAAAGAAACUACAGAUCAAAUGAUUAAAACGAUUGCAGAAGACCUUGCUAAAGCACAGAGGUGGAGGAAUCGACUGAAAUACUAGUUCAACGCUAGGCUACCAAGGAUUCAAA
rnacentral:sRNA from 1 species